GCGGAUGUAGCUCAGUUGGUAGAGCGCCGGUUUGUGGUACCGGUGGUCGCGGGUUCGAGCCCCGUCAUUCGCCCCA
rnacentral:tRNA from 1 species